rnacentral:rRNA from 1 species
UACGUAGGGUGCAAGCGUUAAUCGGAAUUACUGGGCGUAAAGCGUGCGCAGGCGGUUGUGCAAGACAGAUGUGAAAUCCCCGGGCUUAACCUGGGAAUUGCAUUUGUGACUGCACGGCUAGAGUGUGUCAGAGGGGGGUAGAAUUCCACGUGUAGCAGUGAAAUGCGUAGAUAUGUGGAGGAAUACCGAUGGCGAAGGCAGCCCCCUGGGAUAACACUGACGCUCAUGCACGAAGACGUGGGGGAGCAAACAGG